GGGUGGGAUGUUUGAUUCUCAGCCCGUGUGCUGGCAGGCUCACUAACACUUAGCAGGGAGGCGAGCUGGUUACUUGAUUUUCCAGCACACUAAGAUCUAACAUGGCAUGCAUAUCAGGAGUCGCUAGUGGUUCUUACCCAAGAGUGGCCACAGCUUGUCAAGCCACAGCCAUUUACCAGGGGGGCGAGCUGAUUACUUGAUUUCCUGGUGCCCUAAGUUCCAAUAUAGCGUAGAUCUCAGAAGUUGCUGGUGGUUCUCCCCCUGGGGCAGCCACAGCCUGCCACACCACAGCCACUUACCAGGGAGCCAAGCUGGUUUCUUGGUUUCCCAGAACCCUAAAUUCCAACAUAGCGCAGAUCUCAGGAGUCGCUGGUCAUUGUUUUUUUCUUUUCAAGUGUGAAUAGGUCCUUAGAACUUAAAAUUGUAUAUCUGAUUUAUAAGUAUUUUUAAAGAAUCUUUCAAUUGUUAUAUGAAUAACAACCAUGCACUUAUCUGCACCUUCUUCUGUCCAUUGACAACAGCUUUGUAAAAACAAUGGGUGAGCAAUAAAAUAAGCUUUCCUGAGCCAAGCUACUGUUCCCUCCUAAGGAUGCAGCAUUGCUUUGGUAAGUGCUUCAGUACUUUAUUUUCCUUACAGAUAAAACAGCAGAGAACCAGACACACAGCCACAGAGUAUAGAGCUACUUGCCUGUCUCCAGUUCAUGCUCUCUGGUUCACCCUCAGGCUGGCACAGGCACACACUCUGCUGCCUCUCAGGAGGAAUCUCACCGCAGGUCACCCCUGGAGAGCGUCAUAUCACAUAGUACCAUAGAAAUCUGUGCUUUAUUUACUUUUGUGUGAUUCUAAAUUCGUGUUCCGUUUUGGGCCUUCCCAUAAUCCGUCCUCCUUUCAGUAUCAGAACUUCAUUUAUUUUAUGGAGUUACUUUCCUUUCUCCCAUUCCAGUGAUUCACACCUCAUUGCAUUCGGUUUUUUCAAGACUGACUUUAACCCCAGACACGGGGAAGUUACCUGACUCAAGCCUAGACCAAUCGGUGCAUCCGCCUCAUGGGGAAAGCAUGAAGGGCAACAUAUUGUGAUGGAGGCUGGAAGCCUUCACUACAGCCAAACAUACCAGGGAUCUGCCCUCAUGUCUUCAAAAGUGUGAGCAAGCAAACUUUCUGUUCUUUGUGAAUUCCCCAGCCUCAGAUGUAGUGUUACAGCAAUAGAAAAUGAACUAACCUCUGAUUCUCUCACAACCAACAGUGGUGAAUGGCAACGAAUAACCAUACCAGGAAUCCUUUGCACUGCAUCACCAUUGUAUCAUCCAGAUGACCAGUUUCAGCACCACCUCUGGAACCAGCUAAUGAAAAUGAGGGUGAUUCUUUGGGUGGAAACUUUGGAAAGAGUCACGAAUACGGUGAUGAAAGUACCGCGUGAACGCUGCUCCAUAUCCUGAGAAACUCAGUGAACCAUGACUACCUUGUUGUGGGGCCUGCACUCUUCCCUCUCUCUGGCCCCUCCACAGGAUGUGUUCCUGGAUGUAUCCUCCACCAUGACCUAUGACCCAGCCAUGCCACCCUGCCUUGUAGCCAACUGAAUAUGGCUGAAACCUCCAGAAGCUGUAAGAAAUAAACCUUUCCUUUCCUAA